GAUCCUGGCUCAGGAUGAACGCUUGGCGGCGUGCCUAACACAUGCAAGUCGAACGAAGCACUUUGAUUUGAUUCUUCGGAUGAAGAUUAUUGUGACUGAGUGGCGGACGGGUGAGUAACGCGUGGGUAACCUGCCUCAUACAGUGGGAUAACAGUUAGAAAUGACUGCUAAUACCGCAUAAGACCACGGAGUCGCAUGACUCAGUGGGAAAAACUCCGGUGGU
rnacentral:rRNA from 1 species